ACGCCUAAGCCCGAUGGGAUGCUCAUCGACAAGAACAACAAUAUCACAGGGAGAAGGAAAGGGGUGAAAUUUAUUUACUUUCUGCUCUCGGUGCAGAUACAACCGCUAAAAGCAUGGCCAUAAUCAAUCUUUUUGAUUGAGGAUUUCGAGCUCAAAGUCGCAGAUAAUCACCUUAGGCAUAACUGGACUGGG
rnacentral:rRNA from 13 species